GAUGAACGCUAGCUACAGGCCUAACACAUGCAAGUCGAGGGACCGGCGCGCGGGUGAGUAACACGUAUCCAACCUUGACUUUACUCGGUAAUAACCGUUCGCAAGAGAUAAUACUACACGACAUAAAGGAUCGGGAUGCGUUUCGUUAGGUGGUGGGUGAGGUAACGGCCCACCAAGCCUUCGAUGGAUAGGGGUUCGGAGAGGAAGGUCCCCCACAUUGGAACUGAGACCCGGUCCAAACUCCUACGGGAGGGAGCAGUGAGUAAUAUUGGUCAAUGGGCGUUAGCCUGAACCAGCCAAGUAGCGUGAAGGAUGAAUGCUUAUGAGUCGUAAACUUCUUGUAUAGAAGAAUAUGUAUUAUAUGAAUAAGCAUCGGCUAACUCCGUGCCAGCAGCCGCGGUAAUUC
rnacentral:rRNA from 1 species